AGCAGCACUUGGGCACCAAAAGUGAGCUCCUCUUCCUCUUCAGGGCCAUGCACAUCACACCUCUGAAAUGCCCCAAGAAAUUCUCUCUUUCUAACUGAAUCAUCCAACACAAACACCCUGGAUUCCUGGAUAUGUUCAAAGCAGGACAGACCCCAGGAGCUGAAGUGAGGAAGGGGCUGUGCCUGUGGUGCGGGAGUCACAGAUCAAUAGGGGACAAUUUACAGCUCCAUUGUAACCUUCCCCCAAAACCUGGGUCCCACCACCACUGUUGGAGUUUAAAAACCAUCUGUGAACUUCAGCAGGGACUAACCAGUGCCCACAACCACACUGGGCUGCUGCAAUCCCACCCUGGAGCCCUGCCAGCGCCUGCACUUUGUCUGGGUGAACAAACAAAAAUCAAACUCAUAUUCACUGGGCCAAUUCUCAGAACCUACAGCUUUAAUGGUCUAAGAAAAAUAUAAUAUAAAAACAGACACAAACCUGGCCUGUUGGUUCCCACCAAGAGAAGAAUCUCUUGUUCUCAUUCUCGGCUGCAAACCUGAAGAAGGAAGCCUAGAAGAGGUUCCUAAAAUGGCUGAGUACAUUCAAAUGAGGCAAGAACGCCCAACAGAGCGAACAGGUGCCCAUAAAAAACCUUCCUGAACAUUACAUAAAACUUGACCCUCUUCAAGUAUUUUCUUUUCAUCCAACAGAUAGAUACACUAAUAAGGCAUUUAACAAGCCACUAAUGAAGCAGGAGAUCUUUUAGGCAACAAAAAUACCAACUUCAAGCGGGCAAAACCGUGAAAGGAAUUGAAAGUGGAGCGGCCGGCACGCGCAGACCAGAGAUUCAGCUGGAUGAUCACGUAUCCUGCUACAGGUAUCACCAACCUAUCUUUAGGCACCUUCUGGAGAGCCAGCUCACUGAUACCAGCUGGAUCAGCCCAGGAAUUUGUUUGAUGUGCUUAAGAGGUUGGUAACAAUAGCUCCUAAGGUGACAGCGGCGGCAGCGUUGCGCGGUGACAGCGUUUCCUUGGAGACAGCGAAUCCAUCCAUCGGGAUCCCGGCAGGUUCCCCCUCUCCAGAGAGCCUGGAACUCCCUCCCUGAGCAGGGCCAGAGAUGGGAAGAUAAGCCCUGCCUGUAGACAAAUAGCCCUGUGCAAGAUGUGAGGAUUUCAUGCAGCAGCCAGACAUGUCUGAAAGUUCCUCAGGUCUGACUACAAGCAACCAGAAGUUCUUGAAAUUCUACUCCUCCUACUGCUCCAUCCUGAGGGAUGCCCACAAUAUUCCACUGGUUUUACCCCAAAACAGAGGAACCCUCGGGCAGAGCUGGGACCCCAGGCUCCCUUUCCCACUUCCCUCUGACUCCUUCAAGUAUCUUGGCUGGUGUGACAUAGAGGAACACAGUGUGAGAGGGAAUCAGCUCCUCUGCCCCCGAGUGAGGGAAGGGCCCUCAGAAGAAGAGCUGUUUUUCAGGAAAGAAGAAUAUACUCUGAAAAGAAGAAAACAAGUAACUGACACAGAGAAAUGGGAAAAGAGGAUGCAAGAGAACUGGGAAAACUGUGCUGAGCUGAACCUUUCAUUCCAGGACCUGGGUGACCUUUACCAGGUGGAAAACCUCAAAAGAAUCCUCCACAGAUUAAUCCGGGUGGAAAAGCUUUGGUUGGUGGACAAUUCCCUGACAGACCUCAGUGCCAUAAGGUUGCCAAGAUGCAGAGAGCUAAAUGUAAAUAAAAACCACUUUACAUCCUUCAAACAGCUGCCAAAAGUCCCUCAGAUUCAGCACUUAUCUCUUGCUGAAAACAACAUCACGAGCCUGAGUGGGAUUUCAGACUUCAGGCACACCCCACUGGAAUCCCUCAUCCUCAAGAGGAAUCCCUGUGAGUUCCAGGAAAGAUACAGACAGCUUGUGUUCUCCAAUUUGCCAAACCUGAAAAUACUGGAUGGCAUCCCAAAACUGCCAGAGGACUGCUCACCCCCUGAGGUCAGGUUUUUUUACAGAAUGUGUACUAUACUCUAAAACAAUAUUUUUGUAGGAUCUCAACUGCGCUACAACCACCUUUCUUAAAACAGACUGUAAAUCCUGCUUAUGGAAGUUCUAUUUUUUUUUUUACUGGUCAAAGAGAUAUUGAAACAGAAAUAAAACAUUUUUGAGUGCAUUUGUGAUACCAAGUAUGGGUAUGGAUAUGUAAAUAAGACAUAAUGUUAUACUGAUAUCAUGAGUUGAUUUAGUUUAUUAUUAAAAUUAAUUAUUUAUUAAUAGCAAAAUUUAAGUUUAUUAUUAAAAAUAGUGUGUGCCAAGUAAGUAUGGGUAUGGAUAUGUAAAUAAGACAUAAUGUUAUACUGGAUAUUUAUUAAAUUUAAUUUGGAGUUUAAUUAAUGGAGUUUAUUUAUUAUUAAAAUUAUUGAUUACUAUUUAUUAAUAGCAAAUUUUAAGUUUAUUAUUAAAAAUAGUGUGUGCCAAGUAAGUAUGGGUAUGGAUAUGUAAAUAAGACAUAAUGUUAUACUGGAUAUCAUGAGUUGAUUAAAUUUAUUAUUAAAAUUAAUUAUUAUUAUU